UACGUAGGGGGCAAGCGUUGUCCGGAAUCAUUGGGCGUAAAGCGCGUGUAGGCGGCUUGGUAAGUCCGUUCUGAAAGCCCGGGGCUCAACCCCGGGAGGCGGAUGGAUACUGUCAAGCUUGAGUCCGGAAGAGGCGAGUGGAAUUCCCGGUGUAGCGGUGAAAUGCGCAGAUAUCGGGAGGAACACCAAUGGCGAAGGCAGCUUACUAAGGAGUAACUGACGCUGAGGCACGAAAGUGUGGGGAUCAAACAGG
rnacentral:rRNA from 1 species